UAUAUACUCCCUCCGUUCCGAAUUACUUGUCGCAGGUAUGGAUGUAUCUAGAUGUAUUUUAGUUCUAGAUACAUCCAUUUCUGUGACGGGUAAUUUAGAACGGAGGGAGUACCUG
rfam:Triticum urartu cultivar G1812 contig23766, whole genome shotgun sequence.